rnacentral:rRNA from 1 species
AACGUAGGAGACGAACGUUAUCCGGAGUUACUGGGCGUAAAGGGCGUGUAGGUGGUUUUGUAAGUCUGGCGUGAAAUUUUUCGGCUUAACCGGGAAAGGUCGUCGGAUACUGCAAGGCUAGAGGACGGUAGAGGCGUGUGGAAUUCCGGGUGUAGUGGUGAAAUGCGUAGAGAUCCGGAGGAACACCAGUGGCGAAGGCGACACGCUGGGCCGUACCUGACACUGAUGCGCGACAGCAUGGGGAGCAAACAGG